rnacentral:rRNA from 1 species
GGAGGCAGCAGUGGGGAAUAUUGGACAAUGGGGGCAACCCUGAUCCAGCCAUGCCGCGUGUGUGAAGAAGGCCUUUUGGUUGUAAAGCACUUUAAGCAGUGAAGAAGACUCUGUGGUUAAUACCCACAGACGAUGACAUUAGCUGCAGAAUAAGCACCGGCUAACUCUGUGCCAGCAGCC